UCACUCCAGAAGAAACUACCUACCCAUCAGC
rnacentral:piRNA from 1 species